rnacentral:misc_RNA from 1 species
UACUCCCAUUGCUGGUAUACAUCUGGGUAUACCGACCAGCAUCCUUUUCCAUUGUUUUAACUUUUAUGCAACGCUGUUUUUUUUUUGGUUAUAUUUUCAUUUAGCCUCUUAAAUUAAUGUGAACUUCUAUCUAAUUGUCACGCAGGGCUGGAACAUCUGAUUGCUAAAAAUGAAGAUGAAUACGUCCAGUUGGCUUUGCAGCUUGCCUCAGACAUACCAGCUCUCUCAAACUUGAGAAUGAGUCUCAGGGAUCUUAUGUCAAAGUCUCCUGUCUGUGAUGGACCAAACUUCACUCUUGGCUUAGAGUCUGCCUAUCGAAACAUGUGGCAUAAAUAUUGUAAGGGUGACAUUCCAUCUUUAAAGCUGAUGGAACAGCUUCAAGAGCAGGGGCUUUCUGAAGCAGCACCUAUCACAAGCUCUGAACCAAUAGGAAGUAUCCCAUUCUCAGUAGAAGGCCCUCCUGAAUCUGUCAAGGUAAAUGGAUUUAAUGCAGUCUCAUCAUCAAUGGGGAAUCCCUCUUCCGAGGAAAAAGGCAGUCACAGUCAGUUGAAUCAAGAUAAGCUGAGCUGAAACUGAAUUGGGUCUUGGUGGUUCAUGUAAGGUGAUUGGAGACAUGCUUGGAGUUUAUAUCUACACUGUUGACGAGGCCUCCUGUUUGUGUAAUGUUUGUGGCUGUAUCCUGCGGAGUUAAAGCUCAGUGUUCACCAUGGUGGUAGCCCUACGUUUCGUAUUAUAGGAUCGAAUUUUUUGGGAAAGAGUGCUGGCAAAUUGUUGGUAUUUGGAUUCUUUCUUCAUAACAGAGUACAUGAAUUGGGAAGAGAUGAUCUGUGAGCUGUUAAGAGUAGGUGCCUGUCUCAUUUUUUUUUUCCAUGGAUCAUAUCAUAGGGUUUAAAGGUGGCUUGUAAAUUGUAAGGAGAGCUUUUCUUUCUUUUUUAGAUUUUUAGAUGGCUGGGGUAGAUCACCAGGGGAGGGGGGGAGUUUAUGAUUUAGUCCAUGUAUGAAUGCGAUCCCGUGAUUUCACUACAGUGAAUAUGAUGAAAUAGAGCAAAUAUUAGUCACAUGAUUUACUGA